CGGGGUGGUAGGCCAUCGCACCUGAAAAAGGUGAGGAAAGUCUGGACUUCAGAGGGGAGGAUACCAGCUAACGGCUGGGCAUCGCAAGAUGACGGAAAGUGCAACAGAAACUAUACCUUACGGUUGAAAAGUUCGAGGUUGAACUCGAUCGGACUCCGGGUAACCGGAGACGUUGUAAACCCUAUCCGAAGCAAGGUCGAACCUGGAGAGCGUACCCUUAGCGCGACAAAGACUCCAAAGCGGACCGCUUGAGAAAUCUGGCAACAGGUUUCCUAGAAGAAUGAUGGCUCGCGACAGAAUCCGGCUUAACGCCACCCCACUUU
rnacentral:RNase_P_RNA from 1 species